GAGGAUGUACCUCAGUGUAAAAGCACUUGCUUAGCAUGCAUGAAGCCCUGGGCUCAAUCCCCAGCACCACA
rnacentral:tRNA from 1 species